AAGAAAAAUUAAAAAUGCAUGCCAUGAAAGAGUUCGGGUCUUAGGAGGUUAAAGUUGCCAAUCCCAAUGUUUAUAAAAAGACAAGAGUGAAAGUGAAAGAAAAAUGACCCAAAAAAGUGAUCCAAACAUAUUACGUUAUGUUUAUCAAACAAUUCAUUUAUUAGCAUUUGCCUAGCCUAUGUCUCUGCUGCGCUCCUCUGCUCUGUUUCACCAUGUGUCUGCUCGACUCCAAAACAAACACAGUGCAACAGCGAGCAUAGGAGCGCAGCAAAACAACAGCAGAGAUUGUUUUGAUUCUGAGACCAGCAUUAGUUAGCUUAUGUAGCAUAUCGUUGCCAUUGCUUUUAAGUGUAUUUUACAGCCUUAUUCUGGGCAUAUAUUUUAGCUUUUUGAAUUUUGAGCACACAACCUUUCCGGUUAUAAAGGGAGGAGAUCUGUUUAUUUUCUUUAAGAAGCUGGUGAUGUCACUCAAAAUCCAAUCUUUUAUCUGCAUGGCAUGGCUCCAAUUUAACAUGCUUGUCCAGCCUAAAAAAACAAAACUUAUCUGACACUUUCACAGAAAAGUUUAAGGUCAGUCAUUCAGAUUAUUUGAGAUGUUAUAAUACAGUGCCAGUUUCCCUUUUGAUGCAGAUAUGUGAUGACAAACAUUUGGAGAUUUGACUCAACAUGUCAGUAAAGACAAACAUGGUGCUUAAGCUGGAACAACAACAACUUGUAUUUGACUUCACCAUGACUGACAGAGGUCAAAGGGCAACAGGUAGUAAACACUGGGAUUAAUGAAUCGGUCACUUUGCCUUUCCUCAAGAAUUAGCAGUCCAUUAGCACCUUGUAAAAGGGCCACUUCUAUGCUUUACAACAGCUUAGGCCUGCUUUCACACAAAUACCGAAGCAAAGAUACUCAAUGCAGUGACAGAGUUAGGGAAACAGGGUUCCUGGUAUAUAACGGCAGAAAGACACAGAGGAAUUAAGUCUACAUAGCCCACUUCAAUGCACAUUUAUUACUUUGAUAUAAGCUUAUUAAACAAACCAAAAACAUUUCUUCACAGUCAAUCUGAGCUAAUUUUCCCCACAAAAACCAAAAAAAAAACAAAUUAGCAUAAGAUGAAGUGGGUCAUUCUCAUGUCUUGAUUAAAGUAGGCCUCAGCUUUGCCCAAGUGGCCAAGCAGCAGACUGCAAGUUCAGCUUUGUGCACUGAAGGCCUUAUCAGGGCCUCUUUCAUAAACAAGAGGAGGAGGGGAAAAAAUAGCCCCAUCCAACAUAAUAAAAGGGAGCAUCAAAGCAGCUAUAGAAGAGAAUCAGUCAGAGUAUUAGACGCCACUAGGGGUUGUCAACGUGAUGGCUUAGAUGUCACUGGAGAACAUCUCCAUGGAUGUAAAGCGGGCAAACAAAUUAAGAGGGAUGAGCUCGCACUUGGUGGAUUAGUAUUAGAUUUAUGAGGACAACUUAGAGCCAGUGCAAAGCAAAGAGUACACAAGUCUGUCAAAGCUGUGAAGAGAAAAAGCACCUUUACACAUUUAAGUUCAAGCGACGAUCGCUAUGUAAGACUCACUGUAGAGUUAUUUGACUAUGGAGGUGUUCAUGUAAAGAAGAUCUGAGGUACAUAACAAACCGGCUCGACUUGACAGAGCACUAUCAUUAAAGAAGACUGCAACAUCAUUUCUCUUAGUUAGCACAGGCAACUGUGGCAUAGCAUCUUCUCUAAAGUCUACCCUUAGUGUCUGACUGUGAGAGGGUGGUGAGGCGAGCCCUACACUCAGGAGUCCAACUGUAAAGGAUAUGAGGCACCUUUAUGUCAACUAUGAAUGAAUGUUUAAAUGGAAUCUUUGAAUGCAAAGCUUCUUGAAUUCAAGAAGAUGGAAAGAUCCUUUAAUGCGCUGAUGAUUCCAGCAGCGGUUUCAUCGCUGACUAUACGGACUAAUACGGCGCCUGGUCCUGAGAGCCCCGAGCCCGAGACACUCAGAAUUCCAUAUGCGAGACGAUGCGAGGGUAUUUUUAGGCCAGCACAAUUUCCCUGUGACACAUUUACUGCGAAGGACCUCAAGAGUGAUAACGUGUACAAACUGCAGUCUGCUGAGGAGAGCGACAGCAAUACUUGGAGCCACAGGAGAGACAGGCCAAUUAAUGGCAAGACGUCCUCUGAGUGCAGCCCUCUGUAUAAUCCCACAACCUACUUUAUGGCGAACACUCCCCUCUUGCGCUGAUGUGUGCAUCAUUAAUCACAUUUCAUAUCAAAUGCAUAUCCCUAGCCACAAAUAUUCACUCCCAAAUCUCUAAACGAUGCAUGUCAAACGCUGUUCUUUACCAGAAAGAGCGGCUCAAACUUUCCACAUCUGAUUAUAAAGCAAAAGGAGCUGGCUAAACGUUUAAAAUGUUUAAUGCAAUACCUUCAAAGUUGAAACACCUCCAUACUUCUAUUUCUGAGCGAUACCACGUGAAAAGACUGAAAAUGCACUUAUGAAAGCAGCUUUCCAGGGAGAAGAAGAAAAAGAAGGAGAAAAAAAAGUAUGAUGGUUUUAACUUCAAUUUAACCAAUGCCACUUAAAGCCAAGCUCUCAAAAGUCUAGCUCAGCACGCAGAACUGGCACUUGAGACAUGAAAGGGCAGCUGCGACUUUUGGUUUACAUUAUAUCUUAGUGGUUUCCACAUUGUGGCCAGGGGAUAAGCAUCAGGAGAGGUUUAUCUCUGUCACAGCGCUCUAUGGAAUAUGUAAACACUACGUGUAAUCAGUGCCGCAGUGAAAUGGAGUGCAGGGGCUGUGUGGGAAAGUGAAGCACUUUAGGAAUAAGUCGACAUCUUUACUCGCUGAGCUCAAGCAAAGAUAAGGCGCUGGAAGCAAAGCUGCAGAACCUGUAAUGCUACUGUUGCAAAACAAAACACUCAUUGCUGAAAACUGCUGCAAAUGCUGAACACGUGCAUUUUUGCAAUGAACAAAAUCAGCAAGCCUUAUGCAAGUAGCACUGUUAAGUUAGUGUUAACUUUCACUUUGCUUAAGACCUUCGCUCUCAUCUAUCUUCAUCUCAUCCAUCUCUUGGCUUUACUCUGUCAGCGUGUCUUUGUCCUCGUCAUCCACCCAGCGAGGCGGCGGCGCUCCUCCUUUUUUUUUUUUUUUCCCUUGUGGAGCACGGGUACUUGUUCUAGACGAAGAGCCUCUCUCCCUUCUAGAGCCCAAGUUUUAAUAUGGUGUCCAAUCAAAAGUGAUUAAGCAUCGCAGAGCACAAACAAUGCUGGCCCUUAAAUCUCUGUGAACCCUCAUUCACUCGAGCGAAUGAAAGAACACUCUGUCUGCGGCGGCAGAUGACAGACGCGCGCUUGAAGAUAAGUCUUCUGCGUGAGCCCUUAUCCUGCGAACACCCGCCGUUUGAGCAAAUAAAGAAAUAAAUAAAUGCAUUACAAAACGCCACACACAACAGAACUGGGUGCCACCUCUAAAAAGGCAUCAGUGGGGGAGGAGAAGGCUGUUAUUUUGUCCGUCAGUGUUACGUCCCCGACAUGGUGCCUCGAGAUGAUACCUAAAACCAAGUGGCACCGGACGAGGCCCAGUUGAGUAAGUGAACCAUAACUCAGCUGAUGGGAAUUAAGUCAAGAAUAGAGGACAAACAUGCAUGCAGAUGCAAAGACAGCGCAGUGAAUAAAAAGCCUGUUAAUGUUCAAGCACAAACCCAACUGCGAGCAAUAAAUCACUAAUAAAAUCAACCAGCUGCCUCAAGCGCAGCAUCUUUCACAUGAGAAAUUUCAAAAAAGCAAAUUUCCCACAAAUCAUCCUGUCUUGUACAUAAAUUACCAACAAUUACAAUGCAUAAUGUAUGCGGUAGUAAAACAAUACCCUGAACUAAUGCAUUAGAUACGUGCGGUACACAGCAGCAUGAACAUUUAAGAAAAAGGGGGGACGCUAACUAAUGCUGAGAAGAUAUUGUUCUUUCUUUUUUUUUAAAUGCCAAGUGCAAGAGCAGAAUUACUUGGCAGCUGUUGAGCGAAUUUUUCAUCAUUAAUAUAAGAGCUGCUCGCUGAGUUGCUUAAAUACUCUUUUUCAGCGCGUGUAAUGCGAUCUUGUACACGGUAAGCUUCCAUUUCUAGCUGGAAUGACUGCGGGAAAAUACUGGAACCAGUCCGGCUAAACAUGGCAACCCCACUUGCGCGUAUAUUCUGUUAUAUUUAUUUUUUUCCCUAUAAAAGUUUGCUGUUGAACUGUUACAGCAUCCAAAAGGCACUGUUAGCAGAUCUCUAUUAGCCCAUUUCAGGGAUUCAAUAACCAUACACACAUGUAGACGCAUUAGCAAAUUUGAAACAGAGAGAAGCAGACAAGCGUCAUCACUGAGAAGUCAUGAGAGGGAGGAGCUGGCACUAUGACAACAAGACAUUAGCCGUCUGCAGCCUGCUGCCGUCAACAAGUCAGCAUGAGCACUACCAUCUGACUGGGCUUUCCCAACACUGCCCCCAUACACUCAGCCAAAACUAGCUCUUGCUGCUGCUGCUGCUGCUGCUGUUACUGGCUCCUGCUUUCAAUUUCAAGAGUGGGCCAAGUAAUGGCUUCAGCGUUUUGUGGUCUGCCGACACAUAUGGUCCGUGUAGCAGAACCAGUUCUGCCCCCCCACCUCCUCCCCUGUAGAUCGUUUUGGGACGUGCACGGAGAUGUGGGCAGAAGGAGACUGACACAGCCCCAGGGGCUGGCCGCAGUUAUGAAGGGAGACGUGUACGGGUCUUGUUAUGACUGCCAAGAGAAUUGGUCUCAGCGGGGCCACCGCUGCAAUCAGUCCAUUGCCACAACGUGCAGAACUAACCAAACAGUACUUGUUUAAGGUUUGGGCCUUUCUGAAAAUAAUGUGUAGGAGGUUCUUAAAAAUGCCACCAGCUGCAUCCUUCCCAAAAACACUUUAUGCAUGACCAUAUGAGGAAUCGACCCCAACUUUGACCAAAUGGAGAACUCAUUAAUAAUUAGGUCAACUUCCCAUUUAGCCUAAUGGUGGACGAAAAAAUUGUAUUUACAUUAAAAACAAAACUUUUAUGAGCCGUCAUAGGAAGGGCCACGUUAACCUUUUCUUUAUUGCUCCCAUCAGCACUAACAUCACCGCUGGCAGUUAGGCUAUCUCUGCUGUGGACGCUAUCUGGCUGCAUGACCUAGAUUAAAGGUUAUUUGCUCAAGUCACAGAGGCUGCUCCUUUGGCUCGCCCUUGUUGGGUUUCCUUAUCGGAGUUUGUCUGGACAAAUCUUGGACACAAAGCACCCAUUUUGUGCUCCUCUCUGGAGAUCCUGUUACAGCGUUCCAGACACGACGCGGUCCGCCACCAGUGCCUCUGGGAGCACGGCGUUUGGUUGGGGCGGUGCGAUUAGCUGCUUCCUCAACUUCAAGCAUAUGAUACAUGUGAACUCCUCUUACGUCCCUGAGCAUGCUUUUGUGCCACGACAGGGUAAAAUGAUCAGGGGGGGUCAGAUGAUGUCAUGCUGUGAGAAUUCGGAUAAAGUGACCCUCCCAUCCUCAUUACCAAAAGCAGAAAACAUACAAGAUGAUCCAAGGGUCCUCCAAGUAAAUUCUGCCUUUAGCUACUUAACUACUUUUCUUUUGUAACUACUAAAAUUCACAUUUGUUGCACAAUAACGCCCUUUUGGAUAUUAAGUAAAAAAGUGUCCUGUCAUUAGAUGUACUAUGGAAAUAAUUGAGCAUCUCCACCCAGCAGGAUGAUCCAGUGGCCUUAUUCCUCCUGUGCUCUACAAGGACAAAGAACAACUAAGAGAGCAGGGUCGAGCGAGGCAGGGAGAACGAGGAAAACGAGAGAGAAAAAGAGUAGUGUUCGCUGACCUCAUUCUGACAAGCCCGGGAAGAGUCUUUCCUUGGAACCGUUUCGCAAUAGCACUGUUGUUUAUACAGGUGGUGGGUGAGUCGAGCGAGAUAUGCAGAGAGCAUGCAUUUUGCAACACCUCAUUAUGAAUACUAAACACAAGCAGCAUGUCAAAUCGCACAGCGCACACACAAACAAGCACUUCACCCACACUCCUAAGAGUGGUUCAAGUUUCAUUUAAGUUGUGACAUUUGCAGGGAAUGCGUCACUUUGUGGGCAGUGGCCAAAUCAUCCCUCUCUGUUUAAAUUUCAAAGUCAAGUUCCUUCACACAACCCAAGAGCUGUCAAACGCUACUGUCCCCUCGUAUUGGCCGCCAACUGCAAGCCUCUUGGAAAGGAUGCCUCCGGUUGCCUUGUGUGUUUGGCUUUUGGGCCGUCUUCGGCAACAACAUCCACUUGGCCAGAGUUCAGCCCUGUGGAAGGCUACAACAGCCCAAAGGUAGCUGCCGGGGCCAUUGUUUAUGCAACAGUAUACUACUGCCAGGUUAAAUGGAAAAAGAGCAAAACAGUGGAGGGAAAUGAAGGGCUCCUACCUGCAGAAAUAAGCUUCUGUCUUUGUACACAUGGUGAGACACUUUAAGAAUAUUAUUACAACUCUUUCUUUUCUUUUCUGGAGCCAAUAUCUUAAGUAAGUUAAUUCACAAAUUGCACAUAUGUGAGAAUAACCCUGUGAAUUUAUAAAUACUAUGCUUUAGAUAACCUACUGUCUUUUCUAAAAGAGGAACACUCUUGAAAUGACACAAAAUGGAAAACCAGGACCUUAACUAAAAGCCAUUUAAAUUUAAUGAAAUCUUACCCAAACUAAAUAGAUUUUUGUGCUUUUAUUUCUGUAACAGUUGAAGCCUGAAAACAAACCCAUGCGUAAGUUAAUGUAGCGCCUAUCUUAUUUUUCCCACUAAUCAAUGAGGUGAACCAAAUCCAUUAUAUCUUCGAAAGAUGUGGAAAAAAAGGAGAAAGGAUCCACACAACAGCUGUUUGGUAAACAUACCAAAGUAAUUGUUCCAAAUGCCUUAUUUUAACACAGAUUAAAUACAAUUAGAGGCUGUUUAUCUAAUCACAACAAGUCACUCUGCCAAAAGAAAAACCGCUGUCAUUGUUCCUAGCAGUUCUGCUCCGAGGGAUUAAGCUGGAAAUAGGAUAACUUUUUUUUUUUUUUUUAAACAUAGCUUCCUUAUGUACAGGAAGGAACUUUUACACACAAACAAAGCAUAGGCUAACUGCACAGCAAGGCUGCAGGGAAAGAAUAUGGCUGGAUGGUUGGCUGGCUAAGGCAAGGGUCUUCUGAGGUGAAUACGAGGAAUUCAGGUCAGUGCAGCCGAGACGUUUAACCAGAUCAAGCCGCUGCAGCCUGGGUGGAAAUAGCAUGGGAGGCCACGGAGGGGGAAACCAGUGCGUCACAGCUCCCGGCCUGAAUCCAGGCUCACCCCGCACCCCACCUCCCCAAUGCAAACAAGAGCCAUAACUUCCCUAAUGAUCUGAGAUCAUGUACGCCUCACACACACUUCGCCAAUAGGAAGCGCUUCCUCUCCACCUUUGACCUCAGAGUGGGUGUGUCUACCUUCGACUUGACAUGCAGAUCAGGAAUGGUGCUAGAGUGAUUUGAUGAAUAGUUAGUGGCAAGUUCAUCUAUGAGGUUUGAAAAAAGAAAAGCUUUAAUCCGAGAAAAUCUUUCUGCAACACCACCAAAAUCUUGAAAAAUCUGAUUUUAAGCCCCAACAAAUCUCUUAAUAUCUUAAAUGUUUGCCACAUUUUGAUAAUCUGACACUGACUUGUUUUCAUUUACAGUCUCUCCUCCUCCCCCCCCUACCCGUCACACACAAUUGCUCUGUGAUUCAGAAGUCCAACACCGCACUCACUCACACACACACAUUGUAAACAGUCUUUAUUGAGACGUGAGUGCUUGUAUAAACAUAGACAAGCUCUAUUGAGGGUCCGGGGCUGGGUCGAACAAUAAGAGGGGGAAAGUUGCUGGACGUUCCUCACAGACGGUGUGUACAAAAUCCAAUUAUCAGAGCCGUGGCAUUAACAUUCCAGCAGUCUGGCAGGUGACGGCUCCGUCUUUUCAGCUCCCACCACCACCAUCACACACACACACACACACACACACACACACACACACCGCCAGCAUGGGAUAGUCUCCCUAGGCAGCACCUCGACAAUACACUUACACACAUGCAGCCUUCUUCAGCUCCCCCUUUCUAAGAACCCCCAAGUAUUGAGACAUAUAUAGCAGGAAGAAGGCAAAGAGAGGGGAGGCAGUUGGGAGGAGUGUGGGGUCCACCAGCGACACUGAUCUUUUCUUCAGGAGAUCAGCGCAACCAGCCUAGCAGGCAGUAUCAGUCAAUGGGGCAUUCUUCUCCUCUCUGUGUUUGGGUGAGAAUAUGUUGAUCGCCGAUAACGGCGCUUUGAUUGCCAUAAUGGGGAAACCGCGUUUUGUUUUGAGCAUUUGCCUAAAAACAGUGCAUGCUUUGUCAGCCUUCGGGAGAUGUUUGCGGCAUACAAGACGCCGAACUCGACAAGGGUUGAAGGUAAAACAAAACUAUUGCUGUUCUUGGCUACAGGGCGGCGUCUGAAGGAUUAAAAUAAAAGCCGGCACUUUAGGGCUUCUCAGCGCGGGAAGCAAAACACACAAAAAAAUACAACUAAACAACUAAAACUGAGACUUAAAAGUGCUUCUUCUUUGAUUACACACACUAACUCCUGUAAUUAGCCUCUGCACCUUCUUCCAGCAUUAAUCCGUCCGGUCUCACAAAGCUCUAUCCACCGUGCAUCGUUACCAGGUUUUCUUUUUUUUUUCUAAACAUACUGUACAUAUAGACCUUAUCACUAUAGGAUAUGGUGUACGUGAUCGUGUGCAUGUGAUAUGUAACGCCUCUGCCUGGUGUCAUGCUCUAUAUCCUUGUCAGGUCCUAUAUAUAAACAUACAUCUGGCCCCCAUUCUGCUCUUUCCAUCAUGUCAUCCUGCCUACAUGGGAGCAGGCUGUGGGAGAUACAUACAGUACAGUACAGGACAGGACAGUAGGGCUGGAAGAAAUUAUUGUUUUCAUUUUUUUUUGACUGAUUCUUUUUUAUUAAAUGUCAAAACGCCUGGGCUUAGGCUUCCCAGAGCCAAAAGGAAAUCUUUCUUUUAUGGUUUUUGCUUGACAAGUAGGUUUAGAUUCAAGCAAAUUCAACUUAAAGAUGCAUAUACUAAGAAAAAAAAUGCUCAGGCUGAAAGCUGGGAAUAAGAAACGUUUGACAUUUUUCGCUUUGUAAAUGAUGAUUAAUGAAUCUAAAUUAAGCUGAACUAACUUUUUCUUGAUCAACUGAUACAGUACAUGUACUGAAGCCAAACACCCAACUGCUUAAUCAUUAUAUGCAUUUAUUCUGCAUCAAUAGCUAACUAGGAUUUUAUGGGCAUUUUGACUUGAUGUUGUAUUCCUUCCUUUAAAACAGUUACCGGUUUUUUAAAAAAACGCCACCUUUAGCUUCUCUUUUCACAGCUUAAAGUAACUGAGAAGUCUACUUUGUCCCCCUAUAAACCUCCUUUUGUUGCUCCUAUUCUCCCCCCCUCUUUGUGUGUCGCUGUCCUCCUUUGCGGUGAGAUGUUAGUCAAGUGUCUUGUGGCUUUCUCCACCCUCACCAGAAGGCCUGCCCGCGGUUAAUUAUUCUUGGAUGGCGGAUGAAAAAAAAGUGAGUUCUCUCUCUUUUUUUUUUUUUGUUCUUUUUUUCAUUAGCUCAGCAGCAGUUUCCCAUUCAUAAUAGUUGGCACUGGUUUCGCUCUGCCUGCCAGAGAUCACACCCCAACCAUUUUCAUUUUCCUUCAUCCAUUUGUUUCAUUCAUGUCAUAGAUUUGGCAGGGGCCUGCAUCGUUUUCCUGAUGGCCGCCGACCCUUCAACACCCUCCUUUUGAGUCUCAAACUCCCGUUUGUGGCUUUGUUUUGGAUAAGAGCGGAGAAAAUGUGGAAAAAAAUUUUCAUGCUGGUUCGUAUCCAAGGGUUGUUGUCUUACUGUAUUUCAGGACUGGAAUUAUUAAUUGUAAUGUAAAACUGAAAAAGGGAUACUUUAGCAAAGCCAUAUGAAGCUUUGCUGACAUGCCCUUGGAUGAAAAGAAAGUCAUAAUAAAACUUUUCCUGGGAAACUGAAUGAAUAUGGUUUAUGUAUGUGUGUGUUGGUAUAAUUCCAAAGUUAAAAAGAACCAUUAAGGACUGUGGGUUACCAUUCCCUUGCCUUCACACAGUUUAUCCCAUAAAUUUGCACAAGCAGUGAGUGCACUGAGUAAUACGCUCUCCACCAGAACUUUAAGUCUAUUACACAGUGCGUUCAACAAUCUGAGGCCCGGAGAAACAGCAUUUCAUCAUGCAACUACUGGAAAUAUGCCCACUGACAGGGAAUCUGGAUCGCACCAUCACACACAUAUUUAAAAAAACAAACAAAAAAAACUCUUCCCACCCACCUGUUCAUGAGACAUUUUGCUAAAUCUAUCAACUUCAUCUGCUUGCAUGUAUUUUAUUCCAUACCACACAGGCCCACAAGCAGAAAGCACACGCGUUUGCAUGUGCAUGAGUCCAAACAUUCAAAUGUAACGUACACGUCUUCUCUCUGGGGCUGCAACCCGAUCCCAAAGCACUCCAAUGUGACAUUAAAAACCCAGACUCUUUACCGUUAGGAACCUGGAUUCCCAACAUGGAAACAAACAAGAUGGCUGCCGUGUCUCCAACUGAAGGCGGUGUUCCUCGGCUCCCAUCUGAAUGGAGUUAAGAGGCUGGCUAGCAGGAGCGGAGAGGAGAAGAGUCUCCUGGGGCAGUUGGCUCAGCAAGCGGGACCAGAGGAUGGCUGCACCGUGGAUUAGGGCCCCACAGUGGUCCAUUGUUAAUUGGGCGCCAUGUGUGAAAGCUACAGAGAGAUUAGUUUGUACAGCUGCUGCCAUUUGUCAUAACUGCCCUUAACAAGACACACAUGGCAACGCAAGUUACAGCCAGAAGUUUUGCAGAAAAAAAAGGGGAGUAAAAAAUGUCAGGCGAGCGUCUAACAGUUUGCAGAACAGGGCCCGCAUAAGCAGAUGAAGAUGUUCCUGGGAAACACCGAGCAGACUCGGCGGGGAUCCCAUAAGAGAUGAUGAGCUUGAGCAUUACUCAUUUAGCCAUCUGUAGGUCAACUAGAGUCAUUAUCAUAACUGCUCAAAAGGACUAUGCUAAACCAGCACAGAUCCCAGACCACAGGUUGCAAACAAUUCGGUGAAAAUUAUGAGGGAAGAUCUGCGAUUACAUCACGGCCCUGUUGGGCAGAGCUCAAAUUAGUCAGCGUCUGGGUUUUGUUCAACGAGCAAGAGUGGGAUACAACACAGAUAACAAGAGCCUGAUGACCUCCUGUUAGCCAAAUUUCCCUACUAAUGUAGAAUACAGCAUUAGGUUUAGGAGACGGAUGGUGGAGGAGAGGCUUUUUUUUAGGGGGCGAGUAGGAAUGUGCAGUGUAAUUGUGGGUUGUAGCUGCCGGAGUGGCGAGGAGUUGCUGCUCAACAAAACUAAACGCAGUCUUUUGAGGAGAAGUGCAGGGACGCUUCUCUGAAAGUCCCUUUGAGCUAAACAACCAGCUGGAGCUUUGUGCCAGCAUAGAGAGCAGGACAAUUCGAGAAGAACUCAAGCUGUUGGGAUCCGGAUCGUCACACAGACUUUUAGUGGACACCAUGGUAACGAAGCCUCUUCUUCUUCAGGAAAAAUAAUGGACUUCAUUAACCAUCCUGUUAGUGCUCCUGCUGGCUUUAAUCACGGGAGCACACACGGCACUGGACCAGCCCAUUCCUAACACAAGUAUUAGCACUUUGGGCAAACAAUUUCAUCAUUACUACAACAUCAAAAUUCCCCUCAUUUCAUUUUGAAAAAGUUAUAAUUAAUAGCUACAUUUUGUGAUUACAAUUUGUAGUAUGGUUUAAAAUAGGAAGAGUUUAUUUUCAUUUCUGAUUUAAGUUGCUGGGUUGUUGUGAAUGCUGCGUUUAUGCCGGUGCAAUUCUCCCAUAUUUAUGCACAUCUCCACAGAAAAUAUGAAGGAAAUGUGCACUUUUCUGUUCUCCUUUUUAAUCACUGAGUUUGUUUUACUAAUGCCUUGAUGUAAAGAGAGAAACAGAACUGCCUGUGACAGCGGAGAAAGUACCUCUGUGGAAAAUGUGUAACAUCUGCAGUUUGGUGAUCCUGAGAUAUGAGAUUUUCAUGUCGUUACAAACAACAGCGUCCAUAUUUCCUCUCCUCCUGUCUACCCCGUGUAUGGCUCACUUUAAUCAAACACAGCCCUGCUGCUCAAAGAUGCUGUCUUUCGUGAAAAGAUAGCGUGUUGCUGUACAUGCUACAAAUGUAAAUGACUUCUUUUCCCCUCUUUUGCUAUAUAACUUUUCUUACUAAAAAGUUACUGUAAGAGCCAGUAAAAAUAAUACAUAUGCACUCUGUGUUUAUUGUUUAUUGCUCUGCUGCUUAACAGUUGGUUUCUAAAUUUGGGAGGGUUUUUUUUUUUUGGGAAAAGUCAACCCAACAUAUGUGAGGGAGGAGUGCAGCUCCUUUUGCUUGCUUUGACAACUCAAUGGGGUGCUGAUGAAUCCGUCCCAAGCAGGCCAUUCCCAAGCCCCAGACACCAUAUCCCCUCUCUGACCCACUGCACUGACUUUAGAAAGAAAUUCUCUGGGGAUUCGCCCCCCACCCCAAACAACAACAUGCCCACCCAAAAGUACAUUUCGCACAGCGCUGUGAUGGCGGGCCCCUCUUUUUCUGUUCCACUCAGGUCUUGUCGAGCCGUCACAGUGAUGGGCCGUACUGUAACGCCAGACAAAGGAAGAGACAACCAUCACUCUAGGCCACUGAUCGGCCUUGUCUGGCCUGAAAAGACUUUGAUGGGGCAAAGCAGAGUGGGGGGUGCUGCUCAGAGAAGUCAGUGUCUCCUGGGCAACCACUCCGAUUGUCUGUCCCUGCCCAAAGUUCCCAAUAACACCCCACCUACUACCCCUUCCUUUUUUUUUUUCUUCCCUUCAUUGGUUGUUCACAAGCCUCCAUCCUGGGUGAAGGGGACUGGCUUUUGCAUAAAAGUCUCAUUCUGAUACUCGAGGGUGCUUUUCUCCUGACUGACUGGAAAAAAUGCAAGGUCAAAGAACAUCUUCACACAAAUUCUCUAACUAAGACUUUUUGUCUUCCCUCUAAACCUUCUUAUCCUUCUUUUCACUCCAGACUCUGCUGUCUUACAUGACCAGUCUAGCAGGCAGAUGGGACAACAGUAGGUUUUUCUAGCAGUUACGCUAGUACAACGGCGAAGAAGAGGGCGCAGCCACUGGAUGGAGAAGCUCAGGCAGCAGGGAGGGCCCGCUUUGUAAGGCAGGACAGUGAUAAGGUCUGGGAUAAGGGUGAAUGUACCCAUUUGUCUUCAUUUGGUAGGACUGGCAGACAGGAUGGGGGGUGGGGAAUCUAUCCGGGUGAAGUGGGAGGUGCCGGUCCUCCAGUCAAGUGGCCUCGGGGGGAUUUGAAAUGCAUUUGGGGUCCUCCCCAAAAAAGCCUGGGAAAGUGUGGGGAAGCUGAGAUCUUAACCAUAGACUAAUGACACAAACUGCAGACCUUAACCAAGUGUAGCCACGAACGCAAAACUGAGUCUCCUGCUGAAAUACACAAGAAAAGCCUUUUCAACACAAUGCCCGAGCCUCACAAUGCAGAAGAAAGGCCUCGUCCCGUUUUUUUGACAGAUGCAACAGCGCAAACUGUGACACAAGCAAAUUAAACAUACUGUAGCGGAGCAAAGGAGGGAGUUGUAAAUUUUGUUGAGAAAGAAAGCAUCCACAUUUCUCUGUGGCCUCUGCUCCGAGUUGCCUUGUUUCCAUGGAGAUUUAUGUACACAUGGCACACAAAAGAGGGCUAAGGAGGUAACACGGCCUGUUUAAGCCUUGAGGUAUUUGCUCGAGCAAAGCCCCGCUGCUAAUAACACAAGCUUCAUACUGUGCCAGGCAACCUGGCUGCAAUGCACCCAGGUUAGUUUUUGAGAAAGAGCAGGAGAGGAAAGAAGGCAGAAGGAAGUCAGAUGGAGAUCACAAAACAACCAAAGAUCCUGGAAAGGGGGUGAAGACAUUAAUACAGAAAGAAAAUAAGCGAGAGAGCAAGAAAGCAAGCGAAAAAAAAAAAAGAAAAGGAAAGAAAGAAAGAAAGGCUGCACUGCAAAACAUAAAUAGCUGCCGGGUUAAGAGAAAAAGGAUCGGGAAGACAUUUAGUGGGAAGCGGAAAUCAAUAAGGCAAGCGGUGAAGCUGGGAGGGAGUUCUAAGUGGAUUAGAUUGAGAGAAUGUGUUCGAUAGGUUAUGGCUCUGAGAGAGAGGUAGCCAGACACCGCAGGCUCUAUUGCAUACUAAUAAGGAAGCCAGCAUGGAAGCUAAGCACAGGGUUGUGCAGUUCACUGUGAAGAUUUUUUUCUAUAUAUCUCUGGCAUCAGUGGUUACGGUUUUUCCCAGGGUUUGGGGUUUAGCUUGUUCCUUUAAAUUCAUGUUCAAGAAUAAAACUCCAUCUCGACAGCAACGAGAGCCAUUCUCCAGACUUGUUCUAACAUUAUGGCACAAAAUUUACAAGGAGUUGAGUAACUGUAGUUAAACUUGACAGCGGUGUCUUUAAUGCGCUCCUCCUUACAACAAGUUUUGUUUCACGUUUCUGGCAUAAACCCAGCAGCCAUUUCUCUGGCCAAGCGCCUGGGCCUGGGACAGCUGUCAUGGUCGGAGUCUCAGGCUUGAGGGAAAGCCAGGGACUGAGAAAAGAAAAGAGAACGGGAGAGAAAAGGAGUGAGAGUCACUUGGCCGGGCAGUGUGCCGCAGGGGUGAUUCCUGAUGGCAGAGGAGGAUAAGGGGAUACGAGGGGGGAGAGAGGCAGGGAGGGUUAGAUGUUGUGCUUAGUCACAGACCUCCACUGUGACCCAGAAGGUCAGACCUCCGCACUGGCCGCCUGACCAAAGCCUCUGAGGCAGCCAGGCGGAAAACAAGAUGCAAACAGCGAUCCCGAGCAGUGUGGCGAGCAGGCAGUGGAGAGUCUUGAAGAUACCGACCAGCCAGACUACCCAGCCUGAGGGAUUGGUUCAUUGGGUGGAGGGGUGUGUGCGGGAGACAAUCACAAGGGCUUACUCCCCCUCACUUAGGCCAGUGAACCAAGGGACCACCGGCUAUACCACAAGAAGUGGCAGAAGAGCGGAGACAAACAGUUGCCAAGAGACCAUCGGUGAUCCCACGACCGCUGUGGUUUGACCCCGAUUGAAGAGUUCAACGAGAGGGGCUUAAGAGAAGCCGCCCUUCCCCUAACAGCUCUGCUGACCACCACCACCCCCACCACCACGGCAAAAAGUCUUCCUCCUCCACGUGCCCCGGGCCGGCACAGGCAUGUUUUCACUGAUCUGUUUUGCUCAAUUAAACUUCAGAGGACACCCUGUCACAUCUCUUUGUAAAGGUCGUGACCUUAGGGGCAGAGGUUAAGCCUGGCAAUUGUAAAACAAGGUUUUGAUUAACAUGGCGGCUUGUAUCCGGAGGUAAUCCAUCCAUUUCUACAAACUAUCAUGGAAAAAAAAAAGUUACAUCACGGGGGGGUGUGGGUGGGAGUAAAGGUAAUGAUGUUUUAUGGCCACGUUAACUUUCAGCACACGACUAAUGGGAAGGCUGCUUGACCUUGACUUCUUUCAUCCCGAUUUGGACUACCUCAGCAAUCCUCGACUCUCACGGUUUCUAAGGAAAUACACUGCCAACUUUCUAAAUUCUCAGAAAUCUUUUUAGGGAUUAGUCACUGAACGAUUUUAUACAUUACGCAUGCGUCUUAAUAAAAAAGCCUUUUUACAAUGUUAUUCUCUCAUUUCUCCUUUUUUCCAUACAUGGCCAGAAAGAACAAGUGAACACAAUAAGUAUAUCUCUGCAGUUGCUUGAACAAACAGGGAUGAGCAGCCUAACAAAAACCACAUACAAACGAGGCCUAGAGAGUCCCAACAUGUCCCGACACGAUGAUUAUCUACAUGCCCCAUUGCAACUAUUCCAUCACGCUGUCAAACUGGAUAUGCAAAAUAUGAAUCCAGGAGGUGAGAGUUGAUGAUUUAAAAAGAACAAAAACAAAUAAGAAUUCCCCUUCUUGUUUUAUUGGAAAAUGAUAAAAUGGUGCAGUGGAUUACCACGGCAGUAUGUGUGUGUGAGUGUGAGAAGCCCGGGCCCUGCAUUGAACGCGGCCUGCCAGUUGGCACAAUGGAUGCCACAACCCCCACUCCCAGCCCCCAGCCUACUUCCCAGCGGGCAUUCAUCUGGGCAUGCACAUGGGUGCUACAGCUCUGCCUGGCUAAACGCGUCUGUGCCCCAGAACAAGGGAGCUGAGUGCCCUCUCAAAAUUCACCCGGUACACUCGCUGCCAACCCGCCGACCUUUCUCAGGCAGCAGCCCACCAGAAUCAAAAACAAACACUCUAUGAACCCCAUUUUUUUCUCACGAAAAGUAACACCAAAAAAAAGAUUUUCCAGAAUAAAUAACAGCAGCGAAAUAACGGAUUAGAAAACACGGCAGAAGCAGAACUACAUUAAAAAUCACAGUCCGAACUCGCUCUUUUUUCCCCCCACAAAGUUCGCACAAUAACCAGAUUCUGUUGCAGCUCGAGCCGUUUGCUACUUUCUUUGUGUUUGAUUGUAUGUUUGUUUGUUUCGUGCAGUUGCAGCAGAACAAAGGCAGCGGCUUCCAUUCUGCCACUGUCAAAAAACUUUCCCAACGUGCCCACUGCAUUGCGGAUGCCAACCAACGAAUCAAAGGCACGCUGCAAGCAGACAAAGAGAGUUUGAUGCCAACCUCCAAACCUCUAACAACCAUUACUGGUGAUUUCGCCUGCCUCCCUGGCACCGUGUAAAACAAAAUGGCGCCGUGCCGCACGCUACCACAACAUGGCUGCAUUGUCUGGGUUUGCGGACCGCUCGGUAACUUAAAGAAAAGAAGGCGACGCUUUAGUUUGCAAAAACUGGAGAAGGAAAAGAAAAAGAUGGCCGUCUGAGUGAUCCCCGCUAUUCGGUGUUUGCCAAGCAUUUCACUCAAUGGGAAUUUUGAGGAUGGUGGCAAAUGAUCGUUCCCAUAUAGAAAAACAUGACAUCAUUUUAACCUUUUAUUAUAAACACUGAAACGAAUCUUCAAUAUGAUCUUCCUCUCUACUCAGAUACAGUUUACUAAAACAGCGGCUGGUUUAUAAAGUCAGUUUUGUGAAAAAACAGCACUAAAUGCCGUUUCUCGAGUUGGUACCGAGCAGUUCAAAAUGCAGCAGAUGUAAACCAGAGAAGCGGUGGCAUCCUACAAAAGACACAAAAGAGGGUCUGAUGCCAACCCCGGUGCCAAUGGCAACCAUUAUUGUCUCUGUGCUGUGCCUUCUGCUUUCCCUGGCACUUAUCAAACACAAAAUGGCGCUCAGGGUUUGAUGAUAAUGAGCUAGCUAUACCACUACCCCUCAAUGGGAGCACAGUGUAGUGGCGGCUAUUCGGUGUGGUUGCAGCAGAUUUAAGGGCAGCACAUGGGAGGUUUAAAAGUGUGGGAUGUAUAUGACUGAAAUGUGUUUACUCGCAGUCAGAGGAGACCUGAAUUUCAUUUUCAAAGGCUUUUUAAAGGUGUUAUCUGAUUCGAGAUCCGAGUAGGAAAAAAACAUCAUUCACAGUAUCUCUGUGAAAAGUGUUUUCUGUAGAACUCAUUGAACCUGGAAGAUAUCAGAUCUGAAUGCGGCGUUGCUCUGAUCAUGCUCUGAGUGAAAAUCUCCCAGUUUAUAGUCUGCAUGACUGACUAUGUAAACCAGUUUCUGGUGAUGUACACUAGAAACACCGUUUC